GCCCUCCGGUUCCCUUUCCCAUCGGAUCUGAACACCGGUCUUGGUGGUCGUAAAAGGAGGAAAAGUAAUACUGAAGCUGGCCUCACACUGUUAUAGUUUGGUAUAUAGCAUGUGGGCAGUUUCAAACAAGG
ensembl:snoRNA SNORA61 small nucleolar RNA, H/ACA box 61